rnacentral:pre_miRNA from 1 species
UGGACAGAUUAUUGUAUUCGACUAUAUUCACAGCAUGAAACAGGGGGUUACACUGUUUUUAAACGGAAAGUGGAUCAAUUAACAUAAUAGACUCCU